CAUAGGCAUAUGGCUCAUGGAGACGGGUACAAGACUUCUGGACACACGACCAGCCAACAGUCUGGGGAUUAGGAUGUCAUCGGAGUUCCCACAGCCAGCCAUAAACUCCUGCUUGAAUGCGGGGAUCGGUGGGCCUCCCCAGAAACCAGCACAGAAAAUGCUCAGGAAUCACUAACUGCAUGAAAGAAUGAAACAGACUGGGGGUACCUGGUGUGAACAAACUCCACACAAGAUGAAGAUGGUGAACCAUAAGUACUAGUUAUAAUAUAGACUGGACAUUGCUUGUAAAGAUGCCAAAGUAACAAGAUCCAUGUUUACUGCUCCUUGCAUAAUGGGCUGAUAUAAGCACGUUAUGAUUAACAACAUUGUUAUGCAGCUCCCUGGUGUCAGGGCCCCAGGCUCUGCUGAUCCCAAGAAACAGCUUUUAUCUUGAUGCCUAAAUCGCUGCUGCAGCUCCUGCCAUCACACCCACCUGCCAGCAGAGAGCAGGAAGAAGUGGAAGGAACUCCUUUUUCCUUUAAGGCCAUGGCCCAGAAGUUGCUCCUAUCACAUCUGAUCUGCCAGAACUUAGUCCCAGGGCCACACCUUGAUGCAAAGCAAGCUGGAAAAGUGGUCUUUAGCUGGGAGGUCAUUGCUGAGUGCUAGCUUGGAGGGUCAUUUACUAAAACAAGAAGAGGGGGUGGGUGUUUGGGGACACUUGUGUUUCAAUUUGAAAAGUUGGAAUGGGCUGUUCAUCAGUCACGUGUGGUGGGACAGGGGCUUGGAGUGUGAAGCUGGGUGAAGAAAAUCAUAGGAGAGGCAGAGGUGGAUGUUACUCAGGGUUCAGAGGACUGUGUGGGGUCUCUCAGGGGGAGAGUAGACAGCCCAAGGGCCUCUGAGAAGCACAGAGAGUUGAACAAAAAGGCAGCGAUGGCCAGCCUGCGGUCUGCCCUGUGUGGUCGAUCUCCAGCCCACGUACGCACACGGAGGGGGCAUGGCCAGGGGCCCAGCCCCAGCCCCCC